CAGCUACAACAAAUCUCUGCAAGUCGAACCAAGAAGAGGGCUAAAGCGCUCACGUGAAGAAAAGAGAAACAUGAUUGAAGCCGAGCUCUUAUCCAACCAAGUUCAGUGCCAGAAUUACAAUCCUACCGUUUUUUGCCGUCGCGUUUCAAGCUUCCCACGUUCACAGAUUGCACUUUAGCUCGUCGCGUUUCGAGGAGUCUUCACGGAUUUCGCUUCAGCUCGUCGCAGGUUCAUGGAUCAAAGUGUAGCAUCGUAUUUUGUUGCGAAAACUUGCGCUCAUGUAUUGCACUUCCAACCUCAUUAGCACCUCAAUAAUCACCAUGUCAGCAUCGCAUUCGCGGAUUGCGUCCUCACGUUUGUUCCUCAACGGUGUUUCUGAGACUCAAUGCUCGCAGUAUCCUCCUCGACUCAGUGACUCAAGCAACAACUAUCGAAACUCGAAAUUGAAAAUGAACAAGGAUUGAGGCGAGAACAAAACUCACCGGUUUCGACGCGGCGACGAUAACAGGUAAUUCCUCCUUAUUUUUUUCAUUUCACUUCUUCUUCUGAACCACUUCUGCGAUUUGCUUUUUUGAUUACGUGAUAUAAUGCGAAUUCCGUUAAAAUUUCUGUUUGAAUCCUUUCCUUCUUCUCUUCCCAUUACUGUUGCAAUCGUGUCCUGUUGAUCUGUUGUGUUAUUGUUGCGUGAGUUUGAGAAUCGACGUGUGUGAUGUGUAUCUGCGUAACGUACGUGGUUGCGUGGAGAUCUAGACUCUGCCAAUUUUUCCCAAAGGAGGUGGACUACUGUGAUUGAUGAUUGAAAGCGGUUCUUCUUUGAAUCGAUGCAGAAAUGAAUUAAGAGGCAAAUUGACGAAUAAAGAAGUGUAUAUUGAAGAGGAUUGAGAGGGUGAAGAAGCAAGAAGAAUGGAGAAGGUUGAAUGAGAUGAAGAAUAAGAUUGAAGGAGGGUGAUCGAAGAAGAGGUGGAGAUGGAUGUUUGAGGAUGGCAACAGGAUGAAGAUGAUGAAUUUGGAGCAGGAAGAUGCAACCCUUGAAACUGAGUUUUGGAAGGAUGAAGGAAUUUUGAUCAUGAGUAUUUGGGACUGCUUGAUGGAAGGCCAUGAAGUUGAUCAUGAAGCUACUCAGAAUUUUAUUAUAAAUGUAGUUUAAAAUGUAAUAUGCAGUAGUUAGCUAUGAUCAUGGUUGUAAGUUGUGUAUUGAAUGUGAUUGGAAAUUUAGAAAUUGAAGAGAGAAUUUGUAUAUUAUGUACUGGUUUUGUAAUGGUUUGAAUUUGAGUGGGA